rnacentral:lncRNA from 1 species
GGCCGCCGCCGCCGCUCGGAGGUGGCUCCCUGCGCCCCCCAAAGAUGCCUUCUCAUCGCUUCGGGCUCCCUUAGGGACGUCGCUGUUUUCCCCUUCUAGACUAAAGGUUACUUUUCCAGGCGUGGAGGGUUUUUCUGUGUGUCCCCGAAGCCCGUUAAAGAUCGAGCAUGAAAUUGUUGAGGAAGAAAAUUAAUACAUCCUUGGACUCCUGAAGGAAGAGCUUUCCGGAUGGGACCACAUUCAAGGGAGGAGUGAAAAGCAGAUUCACAAAGAUCCAUCAUUGACACUUGAAAGGAAUUUCAUGUGCUUGGUGGAGAUGGAAAAAGAAGAAAAGCAAGUUGGUUUCCCAGGGAAAGAAGGCAGCACAUACUCAAUGGAACUUUAUUUCUGUGGAACCAUGUUUUGAGUGCUCCUCCUAGACAUCGUCCGUGAAUAUUCUAGAUAUCAGCAGAUUGAUAUGAUUGGAAACCUGGCUCAUCAAACAGUAUACACUGGGAGAAGCCUGCUUAGAAUAAGACAUUUUCUAUUGUUUCUGAAAGUCUGUGAGAAAACACUAUAGACAUCUACCUGUUUUUUUCUUAAUUUUGCAUCUGGAUUCAGCAAAGCCAGUCUUUGAAGUGAAUAGAACCAGAGCCUU